GACGAACGCUGGCGGCGUGCUUAACACAUGCAAGUCGAACGGAGAUUCAGCAAUGGAUCUUAGUGGCGAACGGGUGAGUAACGCGUAGGCAAUCUGCCUUCUAGAUGGGGACAACAUCCCGAAAGGGGUGCUAAUACCGAAUGUUGUACCGUUUCCGCAUGGAGAUGAUACUAAAGGUGGCCUCUGAAUAUGCUACCGCUAGAAGAUGAGCCUGCGGCUGAUUAGCUAGUUGGAGGGGUAACGGCCCACCAAGGCUUCGAUUAGUAGCCGGUCUGAGAGGAUGAACGGCCACACUGGGACUGAGACACGGCCCAGACUCCUACGGGAGGCAGCAGUGGGGAAUCUUCCGCAAUGGACGAAAGUCUGACGGAGCAACGCCGCGUGAGUGAAGAAGGUUUUCGGAUCGUAAAGCUCUUUCGUUAGGGACGAACGUGCUCUUUGUGAAUAAUGAGGAGUAAUGACGGUACCUAAAUAAGAAGCCACGGCUAACUACGUGCCAGCCGCCGCGGUAA
rnacentral:rRNA from 1 species